rnacentral:rRNA from 1 species
GACGUAGGGCGCGAGCGUUGUCCGGAUUUAUUGGGCGUAAAGAGCUCGUAGGCGGCUUGUUACGUCGUUCGUGAAAACUUGGGGCUCAACCCCAAGCUUGCGGUCGAUACGGGCAGGCUAGAGUUCGGUAGGGGAGACUGGAAUUCCUGGUGUAGCGGUGAAAUGCGCAGAUAUCAGGAAGAACACCCGUGGCGAAAGCGGCUCUCUGGAACGGUACUGACGCUGAGACGCGAAAGCGUGGGGAGCGAACAGG